UACGGGGGGUGCGAGCGUUGUCCGGAAUCACUGGGCGUAAAGGGCGCGUAGGUGGUUUGAUAAGGGUGUGGUGAAAGUCCGGGGCUCAACCCCGGAUCUGCCGUGCCGACUGUCAAACUCGAGGGCUGUAGAGGCAGACGGAAUUCCGGGUGUAGCGGUGGAAUGCGUAGAUAUCGGGAGGAACACCAGUGGCGAAGGCGACUACCUGGCCUGUUCUUGACGCUGAGGCGCGAAAGCUAGGGGAGCAAACGGG
rnacentral:rRNA from 1 species